AUGGUCGAAGAAGGCAAGAAGAAGCAAGGAGGAGAGAGAGAAGAGAAAAGAAAACAUGGAUGGAAUAAGAGAUCUAGGAGGGCACAAAGCACUCACCAGGCUGUUGUUGAUGCUUAUGGAGCUUCUCUGUUUGGUUCUCAGGGGGGGCAAAAUAGCCAGCAGCAACAGUGUAUGAAUUCUGGUGCUUGGAACCAAGGGCUGCAUCAUACACACCCCUGGAUGCAAAAUCAGAUGCUUCCUCGUGCUUCUAUUAACAGAACACAAGGGAAUGCCCUGAACAUUCCAGUGAGUGCACCUAUGUAUGAUAUCUUCAAUAGUCAAGGCAAUACACAGGCAAACUUCCCUCUGAACCUGGGUGCACAUACUUCAGUGGGUGAGUCCAACCAAGCGUCUACUGCGCUCCAACCCCCUGCAAACAAAGUCGCUUAUGAAGCUCCCAUGUCAUACAUGCAACUCCUACUUGCUGCUGAAGAAGAGGGUGCUAGAUAUGCAUCCUCACAAUCGCAAGAAGAUCGCCUUGUUCGUACUGAGAAUGAUAUGUACAUGAUAACUGGGCGAUACAGUAGAUCUUCAGAAGAUCCAUUCCAAGCACACACUGGGGGUGGAGCUCAGCAAACAUCUCAAGUUGAUGACCAACAUGAUAUGGAGCUUGAACCUUUUGUUGACAACCGUUUUUCAGAAAGCUUGAAUGAUUUGAACUGGGACAAUGAAAUGUAG
rnacentral:rRNA from 1 species